UGGGGAAUAUUGCACAAUGGGGGAAAGACCCUGAUGCAGCGACGCCGCGUGAAGGAAGAAGUAUUUCGGUAUGUAAAGCUCUAUCAGCAGGGAAGAAUUAGGACGGUACCUGACUAAGAAGCCCCGGCUAACUACGUGCCAGCAGCCGCGGUAAUACGUAGGGGGCAAGCGUUAUCCGGAUUUACUGGGUGUAAAGGGAGCGUAGACGGAUCUGCAAGUCUGGAGUGAAAGCCCGGGGCUCAACCCCGGGCACUGCUUUGGAAAUCUGUGGAUCUAGAGUGCCGGAGAGGUAAGCGGAAUUCCUAGUGUAGCGGUGAAAUGCGUAGAUAUUAGGAGGAACACCAGUGGCGAAGGCGGCUUACUGGACGGUAACUGACGUUGAGGCUCGAAAGCGUGGGGAGCAAACAGGAUUAGAUACCC
rnacentral:rRNA from 1 species